UUUAUUUGUGGUUCAUAGUUGUAGGGUAUUAGACCAUCGUAGUGGGUAAAUCACGGUGGCAGCAUUAGAGGCUGGUCUUGUUACUUCAUCAAUCAGAAACCAUUGCCCAUAGAAUGAGAGGGAACCACUCAACAUUUAGAUUGGGACUUCCCACAUCAAAUUAAUGUAAUCUAGAAAUUCCUUCACAGUCAUGUCAAAUGGUUUGUUUGCAUGGUGAUUCUAAAUCCAACCAAGGUGAUAAUUAAGAGUAACUAGCACACAUAUCCUAAUGAUGUACUCCUAUGGCUUUGUUAUAAACAGCUCCUUGACCUACAUGAAUGAUAAGAACGAUUGACUACAUUGCUUUUCAGGAGAUUUGAAGCAGGUCAACCCAGUAGAAAACACUGACAUGAAUUGCUGGACAUUUCAGAAGGCCAAAACUCCAACAUGGAAGACCCUAAGAAUGGUUUCUGUAGUUUGGAUCAUGGUUAUGGAGAACGCUGAGGUAAACAUGGUGCUGUAAAUGUCACAGUUGUCCUACACUUCAAGGUGGACACUACAUCUUUAAGUUGGCUCUACCACAUGGCUGAAGAUAGCAGAGUCUCUGAUGAUAUGGAGCAGUAGCAUUAGCCUUGGGCCACUAAUAUACAGAUUGAUAUAAAAAAGAAAAACAAAGUGUAUAUUUAAUUCACUGCUGUUUUUCCCUUUGUUGUUGGAGCCAACCAGUUAUAAGCUCAAGUGAAUAUAAGUAACAUGUGAAUGCUGCUAGAAAUAAGUGGGUAAUCAUGAGAUUCUUAUGAACAAAAACCAUUGCUAUUAAGGGUCCAGAAAGAGAAAAGUCCCCCAAAUGGACUGUGCUUUGAAAAUUACAAAUUACAGCAAGGAAGCAGGUGCAAAGGGAGGCAGUAAGUGAGGAGAGUGUGAUUUACCCAAGGCAAGAGAUUCACGGGUACGAGCUCACUCAAGGUCAUGUAGCCCAUAGUAAGGACUUUUGAUUUUGCUCUGAGUGACAACAGAAGGUUCUGACAAUUGUAAUAUAAUAAUACUAGGAUCCAAUCUAUGUUUUACAGUAUCAGUUGGUUGUAGAAGGAGAAUAUUCAUGGAGAUAAGAAGAAAAGUGUGAGAUAAACUCAGUCUAUCCCAACAGUCCAGUGAAUGACUGGGCACAGACCUGAAGGUGGUGAAAAUGAAUGAUUGCUAAUGAGGCUUGCCAUUAAGAGAGAGAAGAAAUGUGCUAAGGAUUUUGACAUGAACUUUUUGAAACCAAGAGGCCUUUUUUGAAGAAAAAGAAUCAGUGUGAAGGAAGUUCAUCAAGCUUAUACCAAAGAGCUCAAUUUUAGACAUACUGUGUUCUUGGUAUACAUUAGAUAACAAACAGAGAUGAGUAGCACUUGGCAGAAGAAAAAAAGCCUGGAAUUUGGGAAAUAUGUCUGGGUUCCUGACAGCUUUUGAGAAUUGUGAGUACAGGUUGGAUUUAAAGACACAAAGAAAAAGCAUAUGAGCCAAUUUAGAGAUGGAGGAGA
rnacentral:lncRNA from 1 species